UACGGAGGGUGCAAGCGUUAAUCGGAAUUACUGGGCGUAAAGCGCGCGUAGGCGGCUGGGUAAGUCGAUUGUGAAAUCCCCGGGCUCAACCUGGGAAUUGCAGUCGAGAUUGCCCGGCUAGAGUGUGGGAGAGGGUGGUGGAAUUCCCGGUGUAGCGGUGAAAUGCGUAGAUAUCGGGAGGAACAUCAGUGGCGAAGGCGACCGCCUGGCCCAACACUGACGCUGAGGUGCGAAAGCGUGGGUAGCAAACAGG
rnacentral:rRNA from 1 species